UCUGCGAAGAUGGAAUCAUUGCAUCUUUUUACAGGAAGGUGAAAUCGAAGAACUGCACGAACUUGCGAAUCAGUGCGACGCUGCUGCACAAGACAGCCAUGGUCAGGACCCCCACUAAGCGUUAGGAUGAAGUAUCCAGGGAAGAGGCCACAACAAGUGGAGCCUUCGAAGACCAACAAGUUUGUGUACAGUUGAAUGUACGCAUGUCACCCACUGGAGAUGAUUUUUUAAUAAAAUGUAGUGUACACGUCUA